CUACGUGCCAGCAGCCGCGGUAAUACGGAAGGUCCGGGCGUUAUCCGGAUUUAUUGGGUUUAAAGGGAGCGUAGGCCGUGGAUUAAGCGUGUUGUGAAAUGUAGACGCUCAACGUCUGAAUUGCAGCGCGAACUGGUUCACUUGAGUAUGCACAACGUAGGCGGAAUUCGUCGUGUAGCGGUGAAAUGCUUAGAUAUGACGAAGAACUCCGAUUGCGAAGGCAGCUUACGGGAGCACAACUGACGCUGAAGCUCGAAGGUGCGGGUAUCAAACAGGAUUAGAUACCCUGGUAGUCCGCACAGUAAACGCUGGAUGCCCGUUGUUAGUUCACUUUAGAAUUAGCGACCAAGCGAAAGCAUUAAGCAUCCCACCUGGGGAGUACGCCGGCAACGGUGAAACUCAAAGGAAUUGACGGGGGCCCGCACAAGCGGAGGAACAUGUGGUUUAAUUCGAUGAUACGCGAGGAACCUUACCCGGGCUUGAAUUGCAGACGAACGAUUCAGAGAUGAUGAGG
rnacentral:rRNA from 1 species